rnacentral:rRNA from 2 species
UUGAAAGGGAAACGAUUGAAGUCAGUCAUGCCGGUGGGAAAUCAGCUCAUAGGCUACUGUGGGUGCACUUUCUCGCAAGGCAGGUUAACAUCGGUUUCAGUUGCGUUAUAAUGAUGGUGGGAAGGUAGCUCUCUCGGGAGUGUUAUAGCCCGCUAUAGAUGGCGCGACAGAGAUCGAGGAUUGCAGCGAAUGCCUUUAGGCUACGGGUCUGGUCUCUGUCGAGUGUUAACUUGUCGUCAGCGUGCUGACGUACGGGGUGACGUCUUUACAAUAGGUUCAGAACUCGAUAAAUUCGUUAAGGAUGUUGACGUA